UACGUAGGGUGCGAGCGUUAAUCGGAUUUACUGGGCGUAAAGCGUGCGCAGGCGGCCCGUUAAGACAGGUGUGAAAUCCUUGGGCUCAACCUAGGAAUUGCGCUUGUGACUGGCGGGCUCGAGUACGGUAGAGGGGGGUGGAAUUCCUGGUGUAGCAGUGAAAUGCGUAGAGAUCAGGAGGAACACCGAUGGCGAAGGCAGCCCCCUGGGCCUGUACUGACGCUCAUGCACGAAAGCGUGGGGAGCAAACAGG
rnacentral:rRNA from 1 species